rnacentral:rRNA from 1 species
ACCUUUGACAUGGCAGGUAAUCCUGAAGAGAUUUGGGAGUGCUCGAAAGAGAACCUGCACACAGGUGCUGCAUGGCUGUCGUCAGCUCGUGUCGUGAGAUGUUGGGUUAAGUCCCGCAACGAGCGCAACCCUUGUCAUUAGUUGCCAUCAUUUGGUUGGGCACUCUAAUGAGACUGCCGGUGGACAAAACCGGGAGGAAGGUGGGGAUGACGUCAAGUCCUCAUGGCCCUUAUGGGUAGGGCUUCACACGUCAUACAAUGGUCGGUACAGAGGGUUGCCAACCCGCGAGGGGGAGCUAAUCCCACAAAGCCGAUCGUAGUCCGGAUCGCAGUCUGCAACUCGACUGCGUGAAGUCGGAAUCGCUAGUAAUCGUGGAUCAGCAUGUCACGGUGAAUACGUUCCCGGGUCUU